rnacentral:rRNA from 1 species
UGCGCAGGCGGUUUUGUAAGUCUGAUGUGAAAUCCCCGGGCUCAACCUGGGAAUUGCAUUGGAGACUGCAAGGCUAGAAUCUGGCAGAGGGGGGUAGAAUUCCACGUGUAGCAGUGAAAUGCGUAGAUAUGUGGAGGAACACCGAUGGCGAAGGCAGCCCCCUGGGUCAAGAUUGACGCUCAUGCACGAAAGCGUGGGGAGCAAACAGGAUUAGAUACCCUGGUAGUCCACGCCCUAAACGAUGUCUACUAGUUGUCGGGCCUUAAUUGACUUGGUAACGCAGCUAACGCGUGAAGUAGACCGCCUGGGGAGUACGGUCGCAAGAUUAAA